UACGUAGGGGGCAAGCGUUUGUCCGGAUUUAUUGGGCGUAAAGAGCGUGUAGGCGGCCAGGUAGGUCUGCUGUGAAAACUCGAGGCUCAACCUCGAGACGUCGGCGGAAACCAUCUGGCUAGAGUCCGGAAGAGGAGAGUGGAAUUCCUGGUGUAGCGGUGAAAUGCGCAGAUAUCAGGAAGAACACCCGUGGCGAAGGCGGCUCUCUGGGACGGUACUGACGCUGAGACGCGAAAGCGUGGGGAGCGAACAGG
rnacentral:rRNA from 1 species